rnacentral:rRNA from 1 species
AUGCCACGUGCUGAUGGUCCCUUUAAGGUGUUAGAGAAAAUAAAUGAUAAUGCAUAUAAACUUGAGCUGCCUGCAGAUUUUGGGGUUAGUCCCACUUUUAACAUUGCAGAUUUGAAGCCUUAUUUGGGUGAGGAAGAUGAACUUCCGUCGAGGACGACUUCAUUUCAAGAAGGGGAGGAUAAUGAGGACAUCAAUACAAUUGUUACACCCACAGCCCCUGCUGCUAUACAUACUGGACCAAUUACUAGAGCUCGUGCACGCCAACUAAAUUACCAGGUACUUUCGUUUCUUGGUAAUGAUUCUAAUGUUCAUGAGAAUAUGAUGCUGCCUAAAUUGGAUACAUUUGUUUUGCUUACAAAUGAAGGGCCUAGCUUGGAGAAGGAUGAACAUUGGAGCAAGAACAAGAACGGAGUUACAAGUGAUGAUUUCAGGACUUUGAAGCCACCAUAA